AUUUGCCCUGGCCCCUUCACAAACACUGAUUGGUCUCUUUGCUCUCUCUUUCUCUCGCUCACAGUAAUACGACUAGUAUGAAUCUUGAAGUGCUUGUCGACUAACAGUGGAUCACCAUGAAUAAACCAAAAGAUUGGUACUUUCAAGGUUUACCUGCUAUGGGAAUGUGUCCCUACAUGAUUGAAGAAAAUAUCAAGCUUUUUAGAUGGGUCAACAAGUACAAGAAUUGAAAGAAUGAAGCUUAAGCUUGAAACACCUAUUGCAAUUGCAGAGCAACUAUUUUUUACUUGUCAAAAGCCUGUGAAAGAAAAGUGCCAGCAUGCCAAGCAGGACUGGAUGUCAGUAAAUGCAUAAGUUGAUAGUGUGAAAGAGUAUGCAAUGAGAAUGCAAAGUGUUAGUGUUUCGUGGAAGAGACAAAAUUUAUCACUGAUUCACUGACAAGAAAUGCAACAAGGUUAGUUGCUCCAAACAUACAUUGGGCACCCUCAUCCCUGUGAUAGGAGCAAGUGGAUUUACUACAGCUGCAGCUGCAACUACUAUAGGAACUGUUGUCGGUAGUUUUAGAUAAUCUUUUAAUAGUUGUCAAUAUGUUUAGAAAGUUAGAUAUGCAUAGUUUUGGAUGGUUUAAACUUUUUGUACAAUUUAGAACUUAAGGAUAUAGUUUUUAAAUAUUUGGAAUGUAUAAACAAUUGUUGAAUGUUUAUAAUUUAUGGAUAUAGUUUCUUUUUAAUGUUUCAAACAAUA